rnacentral:tRNA from 1 species
GGGUAUAGCUUAGUGAUAAAGUGCUUGCCUAGCAUGCAAGAGGCUCUGGGUUUAAUUCCUGGUGCUGCA